GGAGAGGUGGCUGAGUGGCUGAAAGCGCUCCCUGCUAAGGAGUAUAGGGUAACCCCUAUCGAGGGUUCGAAUCCCUCUCUCUCCGCCA
rnacentral:tRNA from 1 species